rnacentral:rRNA from 1 species
UACGGGGGGAGGCGAACGUUGUUCGGAAUCACUGGGCGUAAAGGGCGUGUAGGCGGUUCGGUAAGUGGAAUGUGAAAUCCCCCGGCUUACCCGGGGAACUGCAUCCCAUACUGCUGGACUUGAGUGCGGGAGAGGAUGGAGGAAUUCCUGGUGUAGCGGUGAAAUGCGUAGAUAUCCGGAGGAACACCGGUGGCGAAGGCGGCAUCCUGGACCGGUAUUGACGCUGAGGCGCGAAAGCCAGGGGAGCAAACGGGG